rnacentral:sRNA from 1 species
CUGACUGUUUUACAAGCACAAUCUGUUAACGCUAGCCCAUCAAGAUUGAUUGCCAAUUAUUUUUUUUGGUUCUUGCGCUAGGUCAUUUUACUUACUACAAGUAAUGGGUACUAUGUACGCCGGCUGUUUCCUCACUUUGAAGGAA